CGGAGCAGCUGUGGCGGAAGCGCGGGGACACGCCGGCCGCGUGCUGCGGCGGCCAGGGACGCCGGUAUCUCCUGUGCUCCCGGGUUUCGUCGUGUUUCUCCCUUUUCCGACGUAGGCUCGUGAUACCCGUGAGCACUAGUCACCUGCUUUGUUAAAUGAGCCUAGUCCUUCCGACUGCACACACCGCGGCGGGCAACUGCCGGCUCCUGCGACAAAGGAAGGAAGGAUGCAGUCACCCCUGUUCAUUGUUCACCCAGCCGCUCUCCAGCUUCUCUUUCUGGCGCCUUGCCAGCGAGCUGAGGCACAGCCAGGGAGGUGGAGGUGGUCGGUCUCUGCGGAGGCGGUCGGUCUCUGCGGAGGUGGUGGGUCUCUGCGGAGGCGGUCGGUCUCUGCGUGGGCUGCCAGCCAGGCAGCGUCUCCUCCCCUGGGGUCUCCAAGGCCCCGGCCGCUCGGGUUCCUGGGCGCUGCCAGCCCGAGAAUUCCAGAGGCGUCAGAUAAGGGGCGGCAUGAACCCAACGGGACUGAAGUCAGCCGACUAGAAAUAACUCCCAUCUCUACCUUUGGUUCACUUUUGUGACCUUGUAUCCUUCAGGAGGCUCAUGGGAAGUGUAAAUAAUUGCCACUACCUCUUUUCUUUGAUUUUCCUUCAUUUUUUUGUGGAAAAUUCUGUUAAAACUAUCCAGUGUCACGUGACGAAAAAGGCAAUAGACUCAUUUUUGACAACCAAAUAUGACCUUAAUCUCCUCGGGAGGAGGUGCCAACAUAGUCUCCAGUGUCCAUCUGAUCCAAGAAGCUCGCUCCUCACCAGCAUCCUUCUCCAACCCAUUGUCCAGUCCAAUCCAUGUCUGAAGAGUUGGGUUCGGGAAUGAUUCCUGUCCUGGGCCAACAGAAGGUUCCGGAGGUGUGAGUAGGCUGUGUGGCUGGUUGCUUCUCCCUGUGGAAACUGCGGCCGAACGCUAGGACCAGCCUGCUGCCGCUGCUCCAGGAAUGGUGCCUGAGGGCUCCCUGCGAUUCAGGACUCGUGCUACAGUGACUCUCACCUAAAUACAGCAGGCUGGAGGAAGCAGACCCAUGCUCAUCCUGGCCGUGGUCCCCUCUCCAUGGGAUACAGACCUCUCAUCAGCCUGCCCUCAGAGAGCAGUUGACCUGUGCCACUGUCUUCCCUGCACCUCUCCCACAUCUCUGGGGUCCUUCUGUUGGCACUGACGUUGUGCAGACUCGGGAUUAGUCACCACUUUGUGCUGGUCUGGUUUACAAACACUCUGGAAUUGUCAUUAACUUUCUGCAGGGUGACUUUUCUCUGCUGCCUCUGCCACCUCUUAUAGCCCAGACGCAUUUCGAAACAGCUACGCUCCUUCUGGAAGAAAGAGGGCCCUAACAUUUUUCAGAGUUACAGAAUACUCCUUGCUUGGCCAUUCUCCUGUCACUGGGCAUCUGUGUCGAUACUAAAUUUUCACAACUAUGAGCAAUACCUGAGCUGCUUUCCUGGGACAUGUACUGUACCGCCCCACCAUGGAGGCAAUAAUAUGCAACAGUACUUACAUAAUACUUUACAGUUUACCGAUCAUUUUCCCACAGAUGGCAUUAUUUACCAACUCAAUAUCAAGGACCAUGUCUUAGUUUUUCUUUAUACUCCUGGCACAAUGCCUUGCACACGGUCAGUACCCAACACAGAUGUACAGAAUAAAUGAGUGAAUGGAUCCAUCAGUUGAUCAGUAAAUCAGUGAAUAAACUUCACGAAAUUACCUCCAAUAUCAACUAUCAUCUUCAGUUUUGUUUUCUGGCAGAUGAGGAAACUGAGGCUAUCCAAGGUGAAGGACCUGCCUUAGGGGCCAGGGCCUGUGCUCCUCCCCACGGGACUGUCCUCUCUCAGUCACAGGGCAGCAGCUCCACCACACUUACUGUAGCACUCUUCCAGAUUUCUUUCUAAGAGCUGCUCCCCUUUACGAAGACUCCUCCUUCCCCCCGCCACAACGGUGCUUGUCUCCUCACAACUCUGCCAUAGUUGGCUUCUUUUCAUAGUGAUUUCUUGUUGGAAUCUCCUCAUGGGUAGUAUGACUGCUUCACGUCUAGACCGUGUGCUGAGAAGCAGUGUGCCUGCCAGGGUGGUUAUAAAUUAGGGCUCUGAAGAAAGAAAGAACUGGGCUCAAAUCCCAGCUCUACUGAGGAACCGUCCAAACCUUGGAUAUGUUGCCAAACUUCGCAGUGCGUCAAUUUUCUCAUCUAUAUAAUGGGAAUGGUUAUAGUACCUAACUCCUGGGGUUGCUGUAAGGAUUAAGUGAGAUAAUGUACGAAGUACUUAGCAGGCUCAAAAACACUGCUCUUAUUUUGAGUGUCAUUAUACGUGAUGAAAAGAGGGAAGGGGACCAUGAUCUGUCUGAGUGCCUACUUAUGUACCAAUCCAGUAUCACUGCUUUUUCUGUAUUUUCUGGUUUAAUCCUCAGAGCAGCUCCGUGAAUAGGCAUUUUUCCCCUUUUGAAAAUGAGGAAACUGGCUGGAGAGGUUCCAUCCAGAAGUAAGAGGCAGAACCAGGUCUGAUGAACUCCAAAGUCCAUCCUGCUCCAGGACUUCAGGCUUCCUCCAGUCCCUUAUCUAUCUGCGGUUGCACUUUAACCAGUGAUACCUAUGUGCAGACGUUUUUUCCUUUUGUAUGUAAUUAUAGUUUAUCAUGCAAAUGCUCUUAUAUACCCCAGGCCAUCAAUCUUGUCUCUGACAGUAUACUUAAUGUCUUCAAAUAGGUGGAAAUAUAUUGUCUUGUCAGAGUUAAGAAAACAGUGUUCUGCUUCCUUUAGGAAGUUGCGGCAGGUUUAUGGUUCACUCUGCUCUGUAGGAACUUCUGAGUGUGAGUGAGCGGCAUGGCUAUGGGCUAACCCUUCUCCCCGUGACGGCAAGACACACACCCCACUUCUGACUCAGCUUCCAUUGCUCUCAGCUCCCCAGUUGCCCUGGACUCUCUCAUACAGCUGCACACCUCUGUAUAAACCAGGCCCUGGGCUUGGAGAGCCCUUCCAGCUGCCUCUACUUGAAUCUUAGCAAUCCUUUGGGCCAGGCCUUCUUUCUGCAAAGUUCUCACCUCCCAGCCUCCACCAAAAGAAAUGAGAUGGACUUCCUGACGGCUCCCCCUGGGCUUCCCACUCUCCCCAUUCAUUCACCCAACAUCUCGACUGCCCAUUUCUGUGUCAGCAUAUCACACCAGGGUGGCUUUGCUGGAGGUUUCGCAGGCUUCUGUCAUCCUCAUCUCUACCCUCAGCACCUCUCACAGAGACUAGCACAGAAUACAUGCUCAACACAAAUUUGGUGGGUAAACGGUAGAUCGAAAAAUGAAAUGAGAGAUGGACAAAUGAAGAACUUGUUCAACAACCUUAUUAAAUAGUGGUUCCCUCUACUGCAUGUUGUUACGUUGUUGUUAGGUGCCAUCGAGUCAGUUCCGACUCACAGCGACCCUACACACAACAGAACGAAACACUGCCCGGUCCUGAGCCAUCUUACAAUCAUUAUGCUUGAACUCAUUGUCACAGCCACUGUGUCCACGUCAUUAAGGUCGACUCUACUUUGAGGAGGCAGCUCUUCCCCAGUCAUCUUUUCAGUGCCUUCCAACCUGGGGGGGCGCUCACCUUCCAGCACUAUAACAGACAAUAUUCCGCUCCUACUCAUAAGGUUUUCACUGGCUAAUGCUUUUCAGAACUAGACUGCCGGGUCCUUCUUCCUAGCCUUAGUCUGGAAGCUCAGCUGAAACCUGUCCUCCAUGGAUGACCCUGCCGGUAUCUGAAUACCAGUGGCAUAGCUUCCAGUGUCACAGCAACAUGCAAGCCCCCACAGUACGAAA